UUUUGUACCUUUUGUAUCAGGGUUGAUUAAAAUUUAUUUAAUGAUUUUAAAUAUCUCGAAAAUAAGGGAGCUAAAUUUAUAUUAUUUUUUUUGUAGCAAUAAAAUUAUAAAUAUAGAUUUAGAAAUUAAAUGUUAAACGAACUUAUUAAUAUCUAGUUUUUUUAGAAAUAAAUUUAAUUUAGAUAUAAUUAUUUUAGUAAAUUAAAUUUUAUUUUAAUUUAUUAAUUUUUAUAUUAAAAAUUUAUGGGAUAAUCUAUAAAUUUAAGAUAAAAAUUUAAUUUUAAUUUUUAAUGUUAUAGAGAUAAUAUUUUUCUUUAAUUUUAAUAAUUUAAUAAUUUAAUAUUUAUAAAUUAAUAAUGAUUUAAAUUUAUAUUUUAUUUUUCUAUAAAAAUUUAUAUUUUAAUUAAUAAAAUAUAGAAAUAAUGAUUAGAUUAGUAAUAAAGUUAUAUUUUAUAAUGAUAUUUUGUAUUAUAUAAUUUAAAGGAAUUCGGCAAAUAUAUUAUUCACCUGUUUAUCAAAAACAUGUCCUGUUGAUUAUAAUUUUAGGUCGAUCUGCUCAAUGAAUUAUUUUAAAUAGCUGCAGUAUGUUGACUGUACAAAGGUAGCAUAAUAAAUUGUCUUUUAAUUGAAGAAUUGUAUGAAAGAAUUAAUGAAAUAAUAACUGUCUCUAAAUUAUUAAAUGAAUUUAAAUUUUUAGUUAAAAUUCUAAAAUUUAAUUAUGGGACGAUAAGACCCUAUAGAAUUUAAUUUAAUUUUUAAAUUUAUUUAUAAUUUUAAUAAAUAUAUUUAAGAUUAAAUUUGAUUGGGAGGAUUGGUAAAUUUAAUAAACUUUAUUUAAGAUUUAAUUUUGAUAUAAAGAUAAUAUUCUGAAUUAUAAAUUGUAAUUAAAAGAAUAAAUUACCUUAGGGAUAACAGCGUAAUAUCUUUUGAUAGAUCAUAUAGAUAAA
rnacentral:rRNA from 1 species